UUGACCUCAAAUCAGGUAGGAUUACCCGCUGAACUUAAGCAUAUCAAUAAGCGGAGGAAAAGAAACUAACAAGGAUUCCCCUAGUAACUGCGAGUGAAGCGGGAAAAGCUCAAAUUUGAAAUCUGGCGGUCAUUGGCUGUCCGAGUUGUAAUCUAGAGAAGUGUUACCUGUGCUGGACCGUGUACAAGUCUUCUGGAAUGGAGCAUCACAGAGGGUGAGAAUCCCGUCUUUGACAUGGACUGCCUGCACGUUGUGGUAUGCUCUCAAAGAGUCGAGUUGUUUGGGAAUGCAGCUCAAAAUGGGUGGUAAAUGCCAUCUAAAGCUAAAUAUUGGCGAGAGACCGAUAGCGAACAAGUACCGUGAGGGAAAGAUGAAAAGAACUUUGGAAAGAGAGUUAAACAGUACGUGAAAUUGCUGAAAGGGAAACGCUUGAAGUCAGUCACGUCGGCUAGAAAUCAGCCUUGCUUCUGCUUGGCGUACUUUCUGGUGGACGGGUCAGCAUCAAUUUUGACCAUUGGAUAAAGUCUCUGGGAAUGUGGCAUCUUUUUURGAUGUGUUAUAGCCCAUUGUCGCAUGCAGUGGUUGGGAUUGAGGAACUCAGCACGCCCUGCAAGGGGCCAGGUUUCGACCAUGUUCGUGCUUAGGAUGCUGGCAUAAUGGCUUCAAUCGACCCGUC
rnacentral:rRNA from 1 species